UGCCAGCAGCCGCGGUAACACGGGGGGCGCAAGCGUUAUUCGGAAUUAUUGGGCGUAAGGGUCCGUAGGGGGUCUGUUAAGUUUGAUGUGAAAGCCCACGGCUCAACCGUGGAACUGCAUUGGAUACUGAUAGACUAGAGUAUAGGAGAGGAGAGCGGAAUUCCUGGUGUAGCGGUGGAAUGCGUAGAUAUCAGGAGGAACAUCGAAGGCGAAGGCAGCUCUCUGGACUAUUACUGACCCUCAAGGACGAAAGCUAGGGGAGCGAACAGGAUUAGAUA
rnacentral:rRNA from 1 species